rnacentral:rRNA from 1 species
AGAACGAACGCUGGCGGCGUGCCUAACACAUGCAAGUCGAGCGCGAAUGGAGCAAUCCUAGUAGAGCGGCGCACGGGUGCGUAACACGUGGGUAAUCUGCCCAAAAGACUGGAAUAACCUGCCGAAAGGCUGGCUAAUACCAGAUAAGCCUACGGGGUCCUCGGACCUUGUAGGAAAAGGUGGCCUCUGUAUACAAGCUAUCACUUUUGGAUGAGCCCGCGGCCCAUCAGUUAGUUGGCGGGGUAACGGCCACCAAGACUACGACGGGUAGCUGGUCUGAGAGGACGAUCAGCCACACUGGAACUGAGACACGGUCCCAGG